CCUACGGGAGGCAGCAGUAGGGAAUCUUCCGCAAUGGACGAAAGUCUGACGGGAGCAACGCCGAAUCGUGAGCGAUGAAGGCCUAUCGGGUCGUAACAUGCUCGUUGUUAUGUUAGGGAAGAACAAGUGCUAGUUGAAUAAGCUGGCACCUUGACGGUACCUAACCAGAAAGCCACGGCUAACUACGUGCCAGCAGCCGCGGUAAUACGUAGGUGGCAAGCGUUAUCCGGAAUUAUUGGGCGUAAAGCGCGCGCAGGUGGUUUCUUAAGUCUGAUGUGAAAGCCCACGGCUCAACCGUGGAGGGUCAUUGGAAACUGGGAGACUUGAGUGCAGAAGAGGAAAAGUGGAAUUCCAUGUGUAGCGGUGAAAUGCGUAGAGAUAUGGAGGAACACCAGUGGCGAGGCGACUUUCUGGUCUGUAACUGACACUGAGGCGCGAAAGCGUGGGGAGCAAACAGGAUUAGAUACCCUGGUAGUCCACGCCGUAAACGAUGAGUGCUAAGUGUUAGAGGGUUUCCGCCCUUUAGUGCUGAAGUUAACGCAUUAAGCACUCCGCCUGGGGAGUACGGCCGCAAGGCUGAAACUCAAAGGAAUUGACGGGGGCCGCGCACAAGCGGUGGAGCAUGGUUGAGUUUAAUUCGAAGCAACGCGAAGAACCUUAC
rnacentral:rRNA from 1 species